UCUAAUAAAUUCUAUUCAAAUACUAAAUAUAUACCACAACAAAUUUCAAACCUCAAUAAUUAUUAUAUGUAUUGUUGAUCUUAAUUCAAAUUUUUUUAUAAAUUCAUUUUACUAUUUUAAAAUAAGCCUACAAAAUUUGAAGAGAAUCUAAUUGACGAACUAAGAUAAAAUUUACCUAAUCUUCUUGGGUGUUGACCAUCUUCUUUCUCCAAUCUCAAAGCAAAACUUCCACAUUUAUUAUUAUGCUAUUAACUUGUUAAUUUUUUCUCAAAAUUUGCAAAAAUAUGAAGACUUUAGUGAACUAUAAACAUGUAAAAUAAUUACUCUAUACCAACUUAUAAAUUACUUAAAAUCUAAAAAAUCCUCAUUGA
rnacentral:lncRNA from 1 species